UCUGGUUCUAGGGAAGAUAUUCUUGAAAAACGGAUUAGAGUUUGCCAGAUCCUAUGAGUGCGUGACCUCAGAAGAGAAGAGGAGGGGACACUCCAAUGAUAAAGGUUGAAAGGGCAGAGCCAGUUGGCCAUGGACUGAAACUUUCAGAGCUGAUUCAGAGGAGUUAAUGUUGCCAUGACUAUCUCAAAAGGAGACAUGGGCAGAGGAACAGGUAUCUCACUCCCGUAGGGGUUUCAGUUGCAAAUGCCUGCAGGAUCCAGAUGUGUGAGAUGGUCCUGGUAUUCUCUCUCUUUUCUUUCUCAUGAAAAGCUGGGUUUUUGUUGUGUUUUUCCUUUGCUGUUCUUUAAUUUAUCAUAGAGAUUACUGGAUGUCAAGGGUCAAGUGUUGGAUCUAAGAGGAUGGGAGAGUAUUUGAGCCCCCGAUCAAUUUAAUGUGCAAAAUGAAUCUAAAGAGAAAGGCUAAUAUUUGCUGCUGUUAAUUGUCUGGAAAUGUGGAUCCAGGAUUGCCAGGACUUCGGGUUCGCUACAAGGGAAACUUGUAACUUCAAGGUUUUUGUUGCUUUGCAUGCCUCCAGACAAUAGAAUAUGUUCCUAAAUGCUUUAAGAAUCGUACAGUCUGUCUAUUUGCAGUUGUGUUACUGCGAUGUUAACUGUAUUCUUAUACUGUUAACCAAGGAUAUGUGGAACACUUUCUAUUUCACUUAGCUGAGCCUUGACAGUUUCCUUUGGGCAGAGUUUAGAACUGGACCACAAUUUGAAUACAUCUGUGUAAGUUAGGAUGAAAUAAUCUAGGGAAAAAUAUAGAUUUUUAUACAUAUAGAAAAACAGGAGAAGAACUGCUGGUUGUUUAGAGAUGGGGAGCUUGUCCCAGCUCAGCUAGCCGAGAUUAUAAGCAUUUGCCAUCAUGCCAGGCAAAGUCUUGAGGUUUUUGUUUUUUAAUGUUCUUCUGAAAUAUCAGACAGGAGGUCUAAAUUUCCAGAGAGGAAUUGUUUUAAUUAGUAGAGUAUUUGGCCACUAUAUUUUCCUUUGGGUCAAUCUAACACAAU